AAAGUCGCGCGGGAGGAAAGUCCGGGCUUCACAGAGCGCAGCGGCGGAUAACGUCCGCCCGUCGAGAGACGAGGGAAAGCGCAACAGAAAGCAAACCGCCUGUCGAUGGGGCGUCUAACCAGCGUCCAUUAAACGUCGUCAGGUAAGGGUGAAACGGCGCGGUAAGAGCGCACCGCAGAUUCGGCAACGGGUCUGGCUAGGCAAGCCCCGCUGGAAGCAAGACCAAACAGAGAGACAGGUUGGCUCGACCGGCGUUCUCGAUUUUCGGGAACCUCUUUCGGGUGGGUCGCUAGAGCUUACGGAAACGGAAAGCGUAGAUAAAUGAGCGUUACGGUUUGACUUCAUUUCGAUGGACGUUGUCGUUCACACAGAAGCCAAACCGACAGAACCCGGCUUAUUUUUC
rnacentral:RNase_P_RNA from 1 species